GAAAUGCGAUAAGUAAUGUGAAUUGCAGAAUUCAGUGAAUCAUCGAAUCAUUGAACGCAUAUUGCGCCCGCCAGUAUUCUGGCGGGCAUGCCUGUUCGAGCGUCAUUUCAACCAUCAAGCCCCCGGCUUGUGUUGGGGACCUGCGGCUGCCCGCAGGCCCUGAAAAACAGUGGCGGGCUCGCUGUCACACCGAGCGUAGUAGCAUACAUUCUCGCUCAGGGCGUGCUGCGGGUUCCGGCCGUUAAACGACCUUCAUAACCCAAGGUUGACCUCGGAUCAGGUAGGAAGACCCGCUGAACUUAAGC
rnacentral:misc_RNA from 1 species